GAAACAAAUACAAAUCCAUAAUGGAAAGAAUUGGAUUUGUGCCUUGUCUGAUUUCUGUACCCCCUCUGAGGGAAGUUUGGAGGUGCGACAAGGGACAGGGCCUUUCAAGUUGUGACUCCAUGCUUGUGGAAUACUCUUCCCAGUGAGGUCUGCCUGAUGCCAUCCUUAACAUCCUUUCGGUCCCAGGGAGGUAUGAGGGCAGAAAACAAGACAGAAGAAGAUAAAAGGGACACAAGAAGUCAGAAGGCGGAGUUAGUACAUUUGUGUCUGUAGAAGGUUGUGUAGCAAUUAGACAAGAUGUCAGAUAAGCAAGAAAUCAAGGUACAGCAUUGAGAGCUGAGUAUAUAUUUAAGAGACAGCUUGGUGUGAAUGACUCUUGAUUUGCAACAGUUUACCUUUUCAUAAUCAAAGUGCUGUUAAGAAUAUGAACUGUAGUAAUUAUUGUCCAAGUAUUUAUUAAAUGUACUUAAAAUAUU